AUGUGGGACUUCAACUCAGCUUCUCCGUUGAGUCGGCUGUCUCCGGGACGCAGGCCCCACGUGGUGGGGGAAGCGAAAGGGGCAGUGUGGGGAAGUGGCCGAGGGGUCGGGUCCGGGGUGGUCUGCAGAGAGGCAGGCGGCGGUGCCCAGCCGGGAACCACGCGCUCACCCGCGGAGUCGGACGGGCCCGGCGGGGGUGGGCGAGACACUGGGAACAGCGGCCAGCUCCAGAGGGGCGAGGCGGGGCGCGCGGGGAGGGAGGGGGGCGCGGCGAACGCGCGCGUGCGCGCACGGCGGGAACAUGGCGCCCGGAACUGGCGCGCGCGCCUAGCUGGCGGGACCGUUAGCUCGAGGCGGACGCGGCCCGGACCCGGUGGAUGUGGAGCAGUCGCCGCUGCCGGCGCCCAAGCCGACCCCAGGGCCGACCCCCGCAAGGAGCUGAAGGAGGUGGGAGCCCCAGUCGCCGCGGGCGUCGGCGCCGUCAAAGAAGAUGGCCACGGAGAUAGCAGCGUGGUCAGAGUGGUAGGAGCUGGUCAUCGGCGAGAGCUGCUCCAUGUCUGGCUGCUGAGUGCUAGAGCCUGUGGCCCACUGGCUUGCCUCACUAUGGUUGGUGGUGGCGGUGACAGAGACUGCAGCACGACCAGAGUGGCUUUUCUGGCUUUGCCCACCCAGCUGCUCCAUGCCAGGAGGAGGAGGAGACACCUAGAGCCUGCGACACCACGACUUGCCUCACUGCGGGUGGGUGGCAGCGACAGAGACUGCAGUGCGCCAGAGCGUUCUAGAGUGUAUGAAGAACCAAAUGAUGUAACUGUAUGCGACCUGGCUGUAGUGGAACAAAUUUGACUCUUAAGUAUGCAGGCUCUAAUUUUCCUGUCUGGUUUUGCCCCCGCAUCACCCAACCAACCAGCAGAGAUCCUCAUUCCCAUGAAACAGAUAAAGAAACUGAGGCCCAGGGAGGCUAAGUCCUGCCAGGAUCAUUCACCUUCCAAGGUAAGGAGCCAUUUCCAGACCUGGGUUUGUGCAGCUCCAAGCUCCCCCGUCUUUCUACAAUGCUAGAUUUAGACUAUAGCAAUCUAGCAAGUGUGGCCACACAAUGGUCAAGUUGGAUUUAGAUGAUGUUCUCUAUAAAUCCAUUCUCCUCUCCCGUGUAAGCAAGGCAAAGUACUCUAGGCCAUGGGGAGUCCCUGAAGACUCGAUGAACUGCAGUGGCCACGUCAGGAGGUUGCAGGUUGACCAGAACUCACCGACACAGCAGGAGAGCAGCUUGGAACCUGCAACUCAGCCAAGACCCAGUGCCUUGGAUUGAGGGAGAAAACAUGCAGCCAUUCCUCUCUCUCUCUGUUGGCUAGAGGGGAUUCUGGCUUUUCCUGCCAGAGCCACCCCUUUCCCUCCUCCUAAAGUUGAUGGUGGUUCUUUAAGGAAAGGGAGAAGUGCACGGUGUGAUAGGGCAGGAAGAGAAGAAAACGGAGGAGAGGAGGGGACUUUCCCAUAAGCAGGCAGAAGAAAAGGCAGCUGUGGUGUGUGAUGGACAUGGAAGCAGUGGUGUCCAAUGUGGGGUCAGCCCUAGAGGAGAGACAGAGAGAGAGACAGAAAAGUGAGAGAGUCCUGACCCUUACAAUUAACAUGGGAUCUGCCUGCAAGUGCUGUUUAGGGCCAUCGCCUCUUCCUGUACUGCUAUUUUUGAGAGUGAUGCUCCUGAGCCCCAUGACCCAGUCAAAUUUGAUGUCCCCUUGAGCCAGAUUCAGUGCUGGGAGUCCAGUGUGAUCUGCCUGGAUCUUGCUGCAUUGAGAACAGGCCAGAUCUUGACACCAAUACAGGGGGCUGGAUAUGAACAGGCAACAGCUGGGUUUCUGAGUCAGAAAGACUUGGUUAAUUGCUAAUUGCUUAGGCGAGUAAUUCAAUUUUGUUCAGUCAGAUUCCUCAGCUAUAAAAUGCAGAUGACAGUACUUAUUCCUCCAGGUUGUGGGGAAAAUGGAGAUUCUGAGCACGAUGUCCAUUUCACAGAAAGGUACCAAUUUGGUGGCUUAUUUUCCUUUCUACCUUCAGAAGUAGCUAACCCUGCCACCCAAACAGACCCUUGACUCUCAAGUGGAUGGGGUCCCAUUUGCACAGGGGGAGAGCUUACAGCCUACAUUGAGUCUAUACUUACCACUUAGUGAGCAUGGUAUCCGCUCAGGGGCCUCUGUGGGCAUCCGUCUCCUCUGCGGCAUCUUUCCUCCCUACCGCUGGGCCUGCACAUGACCCCCUCCUUGGGUUAGGCCUCUGAUCGGUGAUGACCUUGGUAUGGUGGUGAUGGUCAGUCUUGGCACCAAAUGAGCCAGUUUAUAUCAUCAGCUAUUCAAUAAAACACUAAUCUAGGUGUCACCAUGAAAGUAUUUUGUGACAUUGUUAUGUACGUGUUGUUACAAAUGU